UGGCGACCGGCGCACGGGUGAGUAACACGUAUCCAACCUGCCGAUGACUCGGGGAUAGCCUUUCGAAAGAAAGAUUAAUACCCGAUGGCAUAGUUCUUCCGCAUGGUGGAACUAUUAAAGAAUUUCGGUCAUCGAUGGGGAUGCGUUCCAUUAGGUUGUUGGCGGGGUAACGGCCCACCUAGUCUUCGAUGGAUAGGGGUUCUGAGAGGAAGGUCCCCCACAUUGGAACUGAGACACGGUCCAAACUCCUACGGGAGGCAGCAUG
rnacentral:rRNA from 1 species